ACGCUGAAGCUCCCAGCUUGCUGGGGGUGGAUGAGUGGCGAACGGGUGAGUAUCACGUGAGGAACCUGCCCUGAACUUUGGGAUAAGCCUGGGAAACUGGGUCUAAUACUGGAUAUGACGCUCCAUCGCAUGGUGGGUUGUGGAAAGCUUUUUGCGGUUUGGGAUGGUCUCGCGGCCUAUCAGCUUGUUGGUGGGGUAAUGGCCUACCAAGGCUUUGACGGGUAGCCGGCCUGAGAGGGUGACCGGCCACACUGGGACUGAGACACGGCCCAGACUCCUACGGGAGGCAGCAGUGGGGGAUAUUGCACAAUGGGGGAAACCCUGAUGCAGCGACGCCGCGUGAGGGAUGACGGCCUUCGGGUUGUAAACCUCUUUCAGUUGGGAAGAAGCCCUUUGGGGUGACGGUACCUUCAGAAGAAGCACCGGCUAACUACGUGCCAGCAGCCGCGGUAAUACGUAGGGUGCGAGCGUUAUCCGGAAUUAUUGGGCGUAAAGAGCUCGUAGGCGGUUUGUCACGUCUGCUGUGAAAGCUCAGGGCUUAACCCUGAGUUUGCAGUGG
rnacentral:rRNA from 1 species